rnacentral:rRNA from 1 species
UGGGGAAUCUUGCACAAUGGGGGAAACCCUGAUGCAGCGACGCCGCGUGAGCGAUGAAGCCCUUCGGGGUGUAAAGCUCUUUCGGCAGGAACGAUAAUGACGGUACCUGCAGAAGAAGCUGCGGCUAACUACGUGCCAGCAGCCGCGGUAAUACGUAGGCAGCAAGCGUUGUUCGGAGUUACUGGGCGUAAAGAGUGUGUAGGCGGUUUGCCAAGUUCGGUGUGAAAUCUCCCGGCUUAACGGGGAGGGUGCGCCGAAAACUGGCAGGCUAGAGUGCGGGAGAGGAGAGCGGAAUUCCUGGUGUAGCGGUGAAAUGCGUAGAUAUCAGGAGGAACACCUGCGGUGUAGACGGCUCUCUGGACCGUUUCUGACGCUGAGACGCGAAAGCGUGGGUAGCAAACA